rnacentral:rRNA from 1 species
AGAGUUUGAUCAUGGCUCAGGAUGAAUGCUGGCGGCGUGCCUAACACAUGCAAGUCGAGCGGCAGCGAGGGGUGCUUGCACCCUGUCGGCGAGCGGCGAACGGCUGAGUAACGCGUAGGAAUUUGCCCCAAAGUGAGGAAUAACUGCCCGAAAGGGUAGCUAAUGCCGCAUAUGGUCUUCGGAUUAAAGGAUUUAUCCGCUUUGGGAGAAGCCUGCGUUGGAUUAGGUUAUUGGUAGGGUAAUGGCCUACCAAGCCGACGAUCCAUAGCUGGUCUGAGAGGAUGAUCAGCCAGACUGGAACUGAGACACGGUCCAGACUCCUACGGGAGGCAGCAGUGAGGAAUCUUCCACAAUGGGCGAAAGCCUGAUGGAGCAACGCCGCGUGAAGGAUGAAGGCCUUCGGGUUGUAAACUUCUUUUAUGAGUGAAGAAUAUGACGGUAACUCAUGAAUAAGCACCGGCUAACUACGUGCCAGCAGCCGCGGUCAUACGUAGGGUGCAAGCAUUAUCCGGAGUGACUGGGCGUAAAGAGUUGCGUAGGCGGUUUAAUAAGUGAAUAGUGAAACCUGGUGGCUCAACCAUACAGGCUAUUAUUCAAACUGUUAAACUCGAGAAUGGUAGAGGUAACUGGAAUUUCUUGUGUAGGAGUGAAAUCCGUAGAUAUAAGAAGGAACACCAAUGGCGUAGGCAGGUUACUGGGCCAUUUCUGACGCUAAGGCACGAAAGCGUGGGGAGCGAACCGGAUUAGAUACCCCGGUAGUCCAA